rnacentral:rRNA from 1 species
UACGGGGGGGGCAAGCGUUGUUCGGAAUUACUGGGCGUAAAGGGCUCGUAGGUGGCCAACUAAGUCAGACGUGAAAUCCCUCAGCUUAACUGGGGAACUGCGUCUGAUACUGGAUGGCUUGAGUUUGGGAGAGGGACGCGGAAUUCCAGGUGUAGCGGUGAAAUGCGUAGAUAUCUGGAGGAACACCGGUGGCGAAGGCGGCGUCCUGGACCAACACUGAUGCUCAUGCACGAAAGCGUGGGGAGCAAACAGG